AACGUAGGAGACAAACGUUAUCCGGAGUUACUGGGCGUAAAGGGCGUGUAGGUGGUUUCGUAAGUCUGGCGUGAAAUUUCCCGGCUUAACCGGGAGUGGUCGUCGGAUACUGCGGGACUAGAGGACGGUAGAGGCGUGUGGAAUUCCGGGUGUAGUGGUGAAAUGCGUAGAGAUCCGGAGGAACACCGGUGGCGAAGGCGGGUCUCUGGGCCGAUACUGACGCUGAGGAGCGAAAGCGUGGGGAGCGAACAGG
rnacentral:rRNA from 1 species